rnacentral:rRNA from 1 species
GACGAACGCUGGCGGCGUGCUUAACACAUGCAAGUCGAACGGUGAAGCGCCUUCCUUUUUGGUGGGUGUGGAUGAGUGGCGAACGGGUGAGUAACACGUGAGUAACCUGCCCCCUUCUUCUGGAUAACCGCAUGAAAGUGUGGCUAAUACGGGAUAUUCUGGGUCUGUCGCAUGAUGGGUCUGGGAAAGAUAUUGUUUCGGUGGGGGAUGGGCUCGCGGCCUAUCAGCUUGUUGGUGGGGUGAUGGCCUACCAAGGCGGUGACGGGUAGCCGGCCUGAGAGGGUGGACGGUCACACUGGGACUGGGACCCGGCCCAGACUCCUACGGGGGGCAGCAGUGGGGAAUAUUGGACAAUGGGGGGAAGGCUGAUGCAGCGGCGCCGCGUGAGGGAUGGAGGCCUUCGGGUUGUGAACCUCUUUCGCCAGUGAAGCAGGCCUGCCUCGUUUGUGGGUGGGUUGACGGUAGCUGGAUAAGAAGCGCCGGCUAACUACGUG